rnacentral:rRNA from 1 species
UCGAGCGGUAACAGGUCCAGCUUGCUGGAUGCUGACGAGCGGCGGACGGGUGAGUAAUGCAUAGGAAUUUACCCGGUAGUGGGGGAUAACCUGGGGAAACCCAGGCUAAUACCGCAUACGUCCUACGGGAGAAAGGGGGCUUAGGCUCCCGCUAUUGGAUGAGCCUAUGUCGGAUUAGCUGGUUGGUGAGGUAAUGGCUCACCAAGGCGACGAUCCGUAGCUGGUCUGAGAGGAUGAUCAGCCACAUCGGGACUGAGACACGGCCCGAACUCCUACGGGAGGCAGCAGUGGGGAAUAUUGGACAAUGGGGGCAACCCUGAUCCAGCCAUGCCGCGUGUGUGAAGAAGGCCCUCGGGUUGUAAAGCACUUUCAGCGAGGAAGAACGCCUGUCGGUUAAUACCCGGCAGGAGAGACAUCACUCGCAGAAGAAGCACCGGCUAACUCCGUGCCAGCAGCCGCGGUAAUACGGAGGGUGCAAGCGUUAAUCGGAAUUACUGGGCGUAAAGCGCGCGUAGGUGGCUUGAUAAGCCGGUUGUGAAAGCCCCGGGCUCAACCUGGGAACGGCAUCCGGAACUAUGAGGCUAGAGUGCAGGAGAGGAAGGUAGAAUUCCCGGUGUAGCGGUGAAAUGCGUAGAGAUCGGGAGGAAUACCAGUGGCGAAGGCGGCCUUCUGGACUGACACUGACACUGAGGUGCGAAAGCGUGGGUAGCAAACAGGAUUAGAUACCCUGGUAGUCCACGCCGUAAACGAUGUCGACCAGCCGUUGGGUGCCUAGCGCACUUUGUGGCGAAGUUAACGCG